UACGAGUGGUGCGAGCGUUAAUCGGAAUUACUGGGCUUAAAGGGUGCGCAGGCGGGUCCGCAAGCAUCUCGUGAAAUCCCCCGGCUCAACCGGGGAACUGCGGGGUGGACUGCGGAUCUUGAGAGAGGUAGGGGCCGACGGAACGAACGGUGGAGCGGUGAAAUGCGUAGAUAUCGUUCGGAACGCCAAUGGUGAAGACAGUCGGCUGGGCCUUUUCUGACGCUCAUGCACGAAAGCGUGGGGAGCAAAC
rnacentral:rRNA from 1 species